rnacentral:rRNA from 1 species
CGAUGGGGAUGCGUUCCAUUAGAUAGUAGGCGGGGUAACGGCCCACCUAGUCUUCGAUGGAUAGGGGUUCUGAGAGGAAGGUCCCCCACAUUGGAACUGAGACACGGUCCAAACUCCUACGGGAGGCAGCAGUGAGGAAUAUUGGUCAAUGGGCGAGAGCCUGAACCAGCCAAGUAGCGUGAAGGAUGACUGCCCUAUGGGUUGUAAACUUCUUUUAUAAAGGAAUAAAGUCGGGUAUGCAUACCCGUUUGCAUGUACUUUAUGAAUAAGGAUCGGCUAACUCCGUGCCAGCAGCCGCGGUAAUACGGAGGAUCCGAGCGUUAUCCGGAUUUAUUGGGUUUAAAGGGAGCGUAGAUGGAUGUUUAAGUCAGUUGUGAAAGUUUGCGGCUCAACCGUAAAAUUGCAGUUGAUACUGGAUAUCUUGAGUGCAGUUGAGGCAGGCGGAAUUCGUGGCGUAGCGGUGAAAUGCUUAGAUAUCACGAAGAACUCCGAUUGCGAAGGCAGCCUGCUAAGCUGCAACUGACAUUGAGGCUCGAAAGUGUGGGUAUCAAACAGGAUUAGAUACCCUGGUAGUCCACACGGUAAAC